rnacentral:lncRNA from 1 species
AGAGAUGCGCAGUGCUGCCCCUUUCUAUGGGCAGGGCCGAAGGUCCGCGUGUAAAAGUACCCAGUCCCUGGUAACCUGACACUUCCCUUUUAAAAGCCACCUUUUGUCUAUCUCUGGCCUGCCACGAUUCUUCCUGUGCUCCAUAGGAGGACCCAUUGGACCCCCGGGCUGGCUGCAGGGCCCACACCUGGGUUAGACCUCGCACAGGGACGCUGCUGCCACUGUAAUAAAGCGUGCCUACACGCUUCUGAAACUGGUGUAGGAACAACCUCAGUUCUGUGAAAGGCGGACGCAGCAGGACAGAAUCUCCGUGGACAUCUGUCUGGAGGAGCAAUUUUACUGCGACAUUUUAAAGAAACAAAUUUAAUUGAUUUCCAAGGCUAGAGUGUGACAGAAAUCUAAAAGAUCAACUUCAUCGUGCAGGAAGGAGCAUAGAAAAAUAGAGAAAAGAAGAAAACAGCAAACCAUUCUGAGUACCGUGGAAACAAACUAAAAGUGGGCUUAGAAGGAAAACAGAGGAAGAAGGUCUGAGUAGUCCCAGGGACUCCAGAGGCCAAGAUGGGAAAGCCACCCAGGCGAGACAGGGGAGAUGGAAGCCACAGGGAAUCACUAUCACAUACCUCUGCUGGACCUGAAUGGUCCUGGCGCCAGCUAGAGCCAUCUGGUCGACCUUAGACAUGUCAAGGCAGGAGCCAUCUGAUCGACCUUAGACUUGGCAAGCUGGUGGCUAAGUCCAGUGCUCACUGCCGACAUCUGUCUCAAAAUAAACAAAAAGUCCAACAGUGAAUAUUUAACAAUAACAAAAAUAUAAUACCAAACAAUAUUAAAGACCAAUAAAUAAGUGGGAGUGAACAAAGGUAAAAGGUAACUAAUAUCACAAUUAAAAUAUUCUGCUAUCUCUCACUCUCUCUCUUCCCCUUUCCAUUUGUCACACCCAGGCUGGAAUGUGACAAAAAAAUAUAAAAGGUCAAUUUCAUCAUGCAGGAAUGAGUGUAGAAAAAGGGAGAAAAGAACAAAGAAGAAAAACAACAGCAAGUCUCUCUAAAACUUCAGUUAGUUUCACUGUAGAAAAAAAAAUUGAAAGUGGGGUUAGGAAAAAAAGGAAGGAGGAGGAUAAGUUCAGGUAGCCUGAGGGACUAGGGAAGCCAAGUGGGAAGACCACCUGGGUGACACUGGGAAGAUCGAGACCACAGUGAAUCAUGAUCACAUCCCUCUGCUGUACCUGAAUAGUACUUCCAAAGGCAGGAGCCAUCUGGUCAUCCUUAGUCAUGGCAAGGCGAGAGCCAUCUGGUUGACCUUAGAUAAGGUGAGAGCCAUCUGGUUGACCUUAGACUUGGCAAGCUGGCAGCUAAGUCCAAUCCUCUCAGCUGACAUCUUGGAGAGAGAGACAGACAGACAGACACAAACAGCGAGACAGGAGAAAAUCUUAAUUGUGUUAUUAAUUACUUUUCACCUUUGUUCACUCCAAACAGAAAAAAAUCCAACAGUGAAUAUUUAACAAUAACAAAGAUAUAACUACAAACAAUAUUAAAGACAAAUAAAUGGGAGUGAACAAAGGUAACAGGUAAUUAAUAUCACAAUUAAAUUCUUCUAAUCUCUUUCUAUCUCUCACUCUCGAUUUCUCUCUGUCAACUUCAUCAAGCAGGAAGGAGCACAGGAAAAUAUAAAGAGAAAACAAGAAAAAAAUAGAAAGUCACUCUAAGGACUGUGGAAACAAACUGAAAGUAAGGUUAGGAAAAACAAAGGAAGGAUGUCGAAAUAGUCUGAGGGAAUCAGGAGGCCGAGAUCAUCAGAAGGCCACCCUGUAGAGACCUGGAAGACGCCCAGGGCACAGUGAAUCACGAUCCGAUCCCUCUGCUGGACCUGAAUGGUACUGCUGCUGCUGAGAGCCAUCCUCUCGACCCUAGACUUACCAAGCUGGUGGCUAAAUACAACCCUCGUGGGAAGAUCUGUCUCAAAAGAAAAAAAUCCAACAGGGAAUAUUUAACAGUAACAAAGAACUAACCAUAACAAUAUUAAAGACAAAUAAAUAAGUGGGAGUGAACAAAGGUGAAAGGUCAAUUAUAUCACAAUUAAGAUCUUCUCUCUCUUUCUCCAUUUGUCACAACCAGGCUGGAUUGUUCCAAAAAAAAAAAAUCUAGAAGGUCAAAUUCAUCAUGCAGGAAGGAGGGUAAGAAUAUAUAUAGAGAGAAAAGAACAGAGAAGAAAUACAACAGCAACUCACUGUAAGUACUGUAGAAACAAACUGAAAGUUGGGUUAG